rnacentral:rRNA from 1 species
UACGGGAGGCAGCAGUGGGGAAUAUUGCACAAUGGGCGAAAGCCUGAUGCAGCUAUGCCACGUGUAUGAAGAAGGCCUUAGGGUUGUAAAGUACUUUCAUCGGGGAGGAAAAACAAAACUAAUAAUUUUAUUUCUUGACGUUACCCGAAAAAGAAGCACCGGCUAACUCCGUGCCAGCAGCCGCGGUAAUACGGAGGGUGCUAGCGUUAAUCAGAAUUACUGGGCGUAAAGAGCACGUAGGUGGUUUUUUUAAGUCAGAUGUGAAAUCCCUGGGCUUAACCUGGAACUGCAUUUUGAAACUGAAAUACUAGAGUAUCGUAGAGGGAGGUAGAAUUCUAGGUGUAGCGGUGAAAUGCGUAGAUAUCUGGAGGAAUACCUGUGGCGAAAGCGGCCUCCUAAACGAAUACUGACACUGAGGUGCGAAAGCGUGGGGAGCGAAACAGGGAUUAGAUACC